rnacentral:rRNA from 1 species
UACGAAGGGGGGCUAGCGUUGCUCGGAAUGACUGGGCGUAAAGGGCGCGUAGGCGGAGAGCUUUGUCGGGCGUGAAAUUCCAGGGCUUAACCUUGGGGGCUGCGUUCGAGACGGGUUUUCUUGAGUGGGGAAGAGGGUCGUGGAAUUCCCAGUGUAGAGGUGAAAUUCGUAGAUAUUGGGAAGAACACCGGUGGCGAAGGC